rnacentral:lncRNA from 1 species
AAAUGGAAGGUUGGAAUGUAGAGCAGCCACUGCCUGCAAUAGUCUUACCAGCCACUUAAAAACAGUAGCGGUGGCAUUGAUUUUUUUUGCCUUUUACCUUUUUUUAAAAAAGCAACUAAAUUUCUUAAAUUUUAUCCCCAGAAUUUACUUUCAAGCUUUAGAUUCAUCCUUUUACCCUAUCUAAAACAUUGUUCUCAGUGGGCAGUCAGAUGUUUUUUUUCUGUUUCUAAACUAUUAUGUUCAGAGAAUUUUUCUCAUUAAGGAAAUUCCCCCUGCCCCCUCCAACCCUCCAAUUGUCUGAUGGAAGUACAAGUGCAUCCUAGGAGGGCGGGUUCUAAGGGCAGGCUGUGCUUGCAAAUCGGACUUUUGCACAAGGGUCUUAAAUUUCCCACCAAAUUGGGAUUCUUCCCCUCCCCUUUUAAUACAUGUGAUGAAAGGCUACCUAGGCCAAUGGGGCAAUUAUCUUUUCCUCUUUAUUUAUUUAUUUUUCUGCAAACAUGUUACACACAAAUGGGAACAAUUUUAGUUCCCAAGUCCUAGGGAAUUCUACUCAUUCUGAUGUCCCUUGGUCAUGAAGUGUAACAUGCUUAAAUUUUUUCUGGCCAGGUAAACGUCUUUAUUCAGUAUAGGGAAUCUAGUUUGCAUUGAUUGAUUGCUUUCUCACAAACAUAGGAACAUGCUAUUCAGUAAGACAUAGGGAGAAGUGAUCCACAAUGCCCUGUGGAAAGUUUUCUUUUCCCUACGCAGACUAGUAAAUGAAACUGUUCAGAUUGAAACUUAGAGUUCCGUUGAUCCUCUGAAGCCAGUAGAAAAAGUGAAGGUUUAUCUUGGUACUGAAUAGAUAGUGGGCUUUGGAAUUCAGUACUUCCUGCAGAACAGUGGUUCUCAAAAUACUGUCUCAGAGCAACAUCACUUAGGAACUUGUUAGAAAUGAUAAUUCUCUAUCCCUGCCUAGAAUGACUGUAUAAGAAAUACUAAGGAACUGGCCCAGAAACCCAUAUAAAUCAGAGGCCCAUUCAAGUUUGAGGGCUUGUAAAAGCACAGGUUUGUAGAGCCUAAUCCUUAGAGUUUAUUAUUCAGUUGUUUUGUGGUAGGAACUCUUUUCCUAUCUACAGAUGCCUAGGAGAUACUGAGGAGACAAUGCUCCAGAGGAAACUUGCCUCAUAGGACUAACUGCAUCUAAAGUGGCCAUUUAUACAGAUUUGUUGAUGUGGUGACCACCUGAUCACUAAUGAAAGAUGUAGUUCUGAACUCUGAAACUGGAAAGUACCCAGAGUACCUUCCAGAUGCUGUCAUCUCAGCAUAUGGCUGGUAGAGGGGAAUUCAGAUGACUUUUCCUCUACAUCUCCCAUUUCACUCAAAAGGAAACACAAAUGGUUCACUUGACGUGGCAAAGACAAGGAGCAGUUUGGGGAGAGGCAGGGAUGGAAGGAAUAGCUUUUUUGGGCAUUCAAGGUGGAGAAAGGAUUAUUACUGUAUAUAAUCCAUUUUAUGGGGAUCAUUUUGAUGUCAAAUGUUCCCCCAAGACACUCUCAGCAAGUCUGGUCCACUUGGCUCUUUUCACAGGGUAAUAAAACCCUUCUGACUUUGACAAACUGGCAUAAAUGAGCUGAAGAAGUCCAUUGUAUACAGUCCUAGUGUUUGCCUUCUUGGUAAAAUUACAUUUUAAGGAUGUCAUUUCAUGAGUCAAAUUGUAUCUGCUGACACUAAAGUGUAUUGAGAUGUUGUUCUUUAGUUUAAGUAUGUAUCAAAGUAAUAUUCAAAGGGGAUGUUAUGGGGGUGGGACUGGGACUGGGUGGCUUUAUAUUGAUAUUGAAAUAUUCCAGAGCAAAACACAUUGUCCUAAUGAAGUUGUUACAGCUCUCUUUGUUUUCUUGUGAAGCUGGAAUUGGCCUGUGGGCCUCUUGUUGUGCAAAAGUGAAUUAAUUUCAAAUAGGAAUCACAUUGCUUUUGUAAAACAAAGAAAAUCAACCACCUUGUCUGAAGUAUAAGUUGUAAGGCUCUCUUGGUAAGGAACAACCCAGAAACACCUGACCUUGAUUGGAAAGCAUUGUAGGUCAUUAGGGAAAUCUGAUGAUGCUGACUGGUGUUCCAGCUGUGUUGGCAAUUAAAGAUGACCUUGUUACUAACUGAAUGUUGCUGUCAACUUUAGCAAACAAACCAGCUAACACCUUUACAGCACCAGUUAAGAAGAUGUUUACUGGCACUGGUUGGUAUUCAGCUGAGGAAGGCUAAGAUACAGACUAAGGACCAAGAGCCAGACUAGGUCUAGCUAGAAAUUCAGCAACAAAUACCUCCUUGUGCUAUUUGAAUGCUAAGGUAUUAGUUGCAAAAGGCUUACGCCUUCGCUCCUCUAGUGAGGGGAAUGAGCCUGAUGACACUAUUACUGUUUACCUGUCAAACCAGGGUGGCGAUUUAGAAGGAUGCAAGUACAGUAUGUCUCAUUAAGCAGUCUCUGUUGCUGAUUAUAUGAAGAUGAAAUGGUUGUAUAUGCUGAUCUGUAUGUUAUGUACAUUUUCACAGUGAUUGAAUCAUUGUAAAAACAAAAAAGACAAAAAAGAAUCACCACUCUGUCUAUUUUAUGAAGAUGAUAAAGCAGCUUUAUUAAAUUAUUACAGUUCUGUUUUAAAUGGUGUUACCUGCCACAUUGUUUCCUUUUAUCUGGUGGUUCCCUGUUUUCCUCUUAAAUGUGUUUUCUCUGCUUCAAAAGUUUAAUGCAUUUUAGUAUUAAAGGCUAUUAUGGAAAAAGU